UAUCGAAGUGGCGCAUUGACGCCGACUGC
rnacentral:sRNA from 1 species